AGCUCUUCCGUUUACUCUCACGGAACCUAGGCGUGCUGGCUGCAGUUGUUUUUGUCUAGUCGAGCUGUUCUGUUUACUCUCACGGAACCACGAGGUGUGCUAGCUGCAGUUUUUGUCUAAUCAAGCGCAAACCUACAUGUGAGGCCUGCAGCAGGGCAAACAUCUGUGGGCACGCAGUGGUAUCCAAGAGGGAAGGGUCCAUUGCUGUGGAUUCUGCAGCUACAUCAUCACUUUA